CUCCUUUCUGCGCCAUUUUUUUUUUAAUUUAAUUUAUUUAAGGGAGAAUUAUGUUUUGAUGGGCCAAUUUGCGAAUAAUAACAUUUUCGGAACCCAACUUUCCAUAAUCCAAGAUAUGUCCAUUGUUUGGAAAAAUAUUAAAUGAAACAUGCACUAUCUACUGUUUUAAAAUGCUAUUCCAAAAUUGCCCUUUAGUUGUCCCUGUCAGCAGCCACCGUCUCUCACGACACCGUCUCUCACUCGGGCAUCAAGGAGCCCUUUUCUGAAGUUGGCCUCCAGACGAGAGAAUCCCUAAAAAAGCCCUAUUUUUUCCUCUGCCAUUCUCAAUCCUCGCAGAUACUAAUCUAAUCAAGUUAUUAUUAUUUUUUUUGCAACCCCCGUUUGAUUCCCAAGAAAAUCCACCCCCAUUCGAUUUCCGGGAAAAUCCAUCCUCGUUUGAUUUCCGAGGCCCUUUUCUGAAGUUGGCCUCCAGACGAGAGAAUCCCUAAAAAAGCCCUAUUUUUUCCUCUGCCAUUCUCAAUCCUCGCAGGUACUAAUCUAAUAAGUUAUUAUUAUUUUUUUUGCAACCCCCGUUUGAUUCCCAAGAAAAUCCACCCCCAUUCGAUUUUCGGGAAAAUUCAUCCUCGUUUGAUUUCCGAGAAAAUCCAUCCUCGUUUGAUUUCCGAGGCCCUUUCCUGAAGUUGGCCUCCAGACGAGAGAAUCCCUUAAAAAAGCCCUAUUUUUUCCUCUGCCAUUCUCAAUCCUCGCAGAUUUUGCAGCCUGCGUGGGCUGGUAGGAAAUAUCGGGACCUUUCACAGGGACGAUGAACAAUAGAGGGGUAUUUUCGGUAUGAAAUAACACCUCAGGCCAGAAUGCAUGUUUCCUUUAAUAUUUUUCCAAACAGUGGACAUAUCUUGCAUUAUGGAAAGUUGGGUUCCGAAAAUGUUAUUAUUCCUAAAUUGGCCCAUCAAAACAUAAUUCUCCCCUUAUUUUUAAACAAAUUAAUUGUUAGUUAAAAGCAACUAUAGCUGUGACUGUCGGUGAUUAAAAUAAGAGGAAUUAUCAAACUCUUGUUUAGUCUAAGGCUGUAGACAAUAGCGUCAUUCUGACAACCUGUAAGAAUCUGUGCCUUUGAGAUAGAUUCGCAUUAGAUUCUGCAGGGUGAGGCCAAGUCAUCAGUCAUCAGUCAUCACCUACCACAAGGUUUUUUCAUUGAGAAAUAGACAUUGGGUGGACCUAAUUUGCAGCCACAUAUUUUGGUGCUUAUAACUUCAUAUUCUAUACCCUUUGUUGACCAUUUGCCCAGAGGGCCAGAGCCCAGAGGGUCCCUGUCUCUGUCAAUCUUGCACCCACCAGUCCGGCGGUUUUAAAAAAUAAUUCCUGAAUUAUGGACAUCCUUCUCGAAGACCGUGCUUUUUUAUCUCGUCCUCAUCUGGCAUAGCAGUUAGGAAAAAUAAUUUCAAAUCAAUUUUUGUUCAAAUAAAAAAUAAAAAAAUAAAUUAGAAGUGAAAAAUCCUCUUUUCAAAAGAGGAUUUAUGAACUUUUUUUGCACGAUUUCUAUAAUUCCAUUUGUUAUAUGAGAAGAGAUGACUUCAAAAAAAUUUAAUAAAUAAGAAAUCAUCUUUUAAAGAAACGAUUUUUAAAAAUAAAAAAUAAGUAAAAUUAACUGAGAAAUCGUCUUUUAAAAAAAUAAUUUUCACACAAAAUAUAUAUGAGAAAUUCUUAUUUUAAAAAAAAUACUACAAAAAUGAGAAAUUUUCACUUAAAAUAAAAUAAUAAUAAUAAUAAAAAAACCCAAAAGGGAAAUCAUCAAAUUAUAAGUGAAAAAUAAUUCCUCACUUGGGUUUUUUUAAUAUUUUAUUAUUAUUUUAUUUUAAGUGAUAAUUUUUUAGUUUUGUGUUGUGGAAAUCGUCUUUUGAAGAAACGAUUUUCCACUUGAAUUUUUUUUUAAGUGAGAAUUUCUCGCAUAUAUAUUUUUUUUGUGAAAAUUGUUUCUUUAAGAGAUGAUUUCUCGCUCUUUCCUAUUUGAACUAAACUAUGGUAGAUUUGGAAUUAUUUUUCCUACUACGAUAAUUUAAAAACGAUUUUUUAAAAUUGUCAUACUCUUAUAAAAAAUCAUCCCAUAAAACAAAAUAAUUAGUUACCUUUUACAUUCCCAAUUAAAAAUUAUUAUUUUCUUUUGUCAAGAUUCUUCCUUGUGGCAAUGUCAUCUUUUCUUAAACUUAUUUUUAAAAAUUGUUUUUAAGUUAAAAAAAAUAGUAUUUUUUUUAAAUCAUGGGUGUUUGAUAAAGUUGUUUUUUAAAAACACUUUUUAAAGCAAAAAAGGAAAAAAAAGUAAAAAUAUUUAAAGUUUAUAUUUUUUAAUGUAAAAAUAAAAAGUUUUUUUAUUACAUAUAUAUACACUUAAUAUCAAAUUACGGAUAGAAUAUUUUGAACUAAUUUUGAUUUAAUUUGUAAUUAAUUUAGUCAACUUGAUUUCAUCUUAUUUGAUUUACAAUCCAUUUAGCUAGUGAGAAAAUUAAAAAAAAGUAUAAUUGUCUAGAGAGAAGAAAUAAUAAAACCAUAACUCAUCUUGAACCAAUAUUUUAGUCUAUUAUUUUCUCAUAUUAAUUGAGUAUUCUAAAUUAUUUUUAAAAAUUAUUAAACUCGUGAAGUCUUAUUUGAUUUAAAAUUAGUGAGAAAAUUCAUAAAAGUGUAAUUAUGUGUAAAGAAGAAACAACUAUGUUACUUCGAGUCAAUUUUAGUUUCAAAUUAUUUUUUAAAAUUAAAAAAUUAUGUGUGCUUGCUUCAAAGUAUAUUUUUUUAUUGAGAAAAUUUAUAAAAUUAUGGUUUCACAUAUAAGGGAAAUAGUGAAGUCAUUUUAGAUCAAUUUUUGUAUUAAUUGAGUGAAUAUUUAAGUUUCAAAUUAUUUUCUAAAAUUAUUUAACUUAUUAGUGAAUUCAAGGCAUUAAAACCUACUUGAUUUGGGUUUGAAAAUGGUUUUUAAAAGUGCUUUUAGUUUUUAAAAAUAAAAGCUUACUUUUUACUCAUUCAAAAAUUGUAGCACAUUAUCAGUAGCAAAUUUAUUAAACUGAAAUCAGGUAGGACACCACUUCACAUCUUUUCUUAUGGAGAGAUGUUAGCACCGGCAGAGCAAGCUGGUGGCACAUCCACCCACCAUGAGAAAUAAAAUCAAAGUAGUGGCUUAUGAUGUGUAUGAAUCUCUGGACUCAUAAUUUUCUUUGAACCCUUAUAAUAUGACACAACUGGGAAUAAGAAGAAGAAAAAGAUCAUGAAAAUUUUUAGUAGGCUUAUCAAAA